rnacentral:rRNA from 1 species
AUUGAACGCUGGCGGCAGGCCUAACACAUGCAAGUCGAACGAGUGGCGGACGGGUGAGUAAUGUCUGGGAAACUGCCUGAUCGAGGGGGAUAACUACUGGAAACGGUAGCUAAUACCGCAUACCAUCGGAUGUGCCCAGAUGGGUUUAGCUAUUAGGUGGGGUAAAGGCUCACCUAGGCGGCGCUCCCUAGCUGGUCUGAGAGGAUGACCAGCCAAACUGGGACUGAGACACAGUCCAGACUCAUACGAGAGGCAGCAGUGGGGAAUAUUGCGCAAUGGUCGCAAGCCUGAUGCAGUCAUGCCGCGUGUAUGAAGAAGGAAUUCGGGUUGUAAAGUACUUUCAGCGGGGAGGCGUUACCCGCAGAAGAAGCACCGGCUAACUCCGUGCCAGCAGCCGCGGUAAUAC